rnacentral:misc_RNA from 1 species
GAUGAAGAACGUAGUGAAAUGCGAUAAGUAAUGUGAAUUGCAGAAUUCAGUGAAUCAUCGAAUCUUUGAACGCACAUUGCGCCCCCUGGUAUUCCGGGGGGCAUGCCUGUUCGAGCGUCAUUACAACCCUCAAGCUCUGCUUGGUUUUGGGCCCCGCCAGUUCUGGCGGGCCCUAAAGUCAGUGGCGGUGCCUUCCGGCUCCGAGCGUAGUAAUUCUUCUCGCUCUGGAGACCCGGUUGUGUGCUUGCCAACAACCCCCAAUUUUUUAAGGUUGACCUCGGAUCAGGUAGGGAUACCCGCUGAACUUAAGCAUAUCAAUAAGCGGAGGA